AAGACUUGGCGGUGCCCUAUACCACCUAGAGGAGCCUGUUCUAUAAUCGAUAAUCCCCGAUCAACCUCACCACCCCUUGCCUAUACCGCCUGUAUACCUCCGUCGUCAACUGACCCCUCAAGGGAAAUAGUUGGUUUAAUGGCUUAUCACCAGAAAGUCAGGUCAAGGUGCAGCGUAUGAGGUGGGAAGAAAUGGGCUACAUUCUCUACCUUUAGAUUACACGAAAGAUCACUAUGAAAUCUGAUCAGAAGGCGGAUUUAGCAGUAAAAAGAGACUAGAGCGCUCUUUUUAAGUUGGCCCUAGGGCGCGCACACACCGCCCGUCACCCUCUUCAACUCCAUAUUUCUUUAUUCCUAAUCCCCCCUUAGGAGAAUAGAAGAGGCAAGUCGUAACAUGGUAAGUCCACCGGAAGGUGGACUUGG
rnacentral:rRNA from 1 species